rnacentral:rRNA from 1 species
UUGACCGCCUGGGGAGUACGGUCGCAAGAUUAAAACUCAAAGGAAUUGACGGGGACCCGCACAAGCGGUGGAUUAUGUGGAUUAAUUCGAUGCAACGCGAAAAACCUUACCUACCCUUGACAUGUCAGAAAGUUUUCAGAGAUGAAAUCGUGCUCGAAAGAGAAUCUGAACACAGGUGCUGCAUGGCUGUCGUCAGCUCGUGUCGUGAGAUGUUGGGUUAAGUCCCGCAACGAGCGCAACCCUUGUCAUUAAUUGCCAUCAUUUAGUUGGGCACUUUAAUGAGACUGCCGGUGAUAAACCGGAGGAAGGUGGGGAUGACGUCAAGUCCUCAUGGCCCUUAUGGGUAGGGCUUCACACGUAAUACAAUGGCGCGUACAGAGGGUUGCCAACCCGCGAGGGGGAGCUAAUCUCAGAAAGCGCGUCGUAGUCCGGAUCGGAGUUUGCAACUCGACUCCGUGAAGUCGGAAUCGCUAGUAAUCGCGGAUCAGCAUGUCGCGGUGAAUACGUUCCCGGGUCUUGUACACACCGCCCGUCACUCCAUGGGAGUGGGUUUCACCAGAAGCAGGUAGUCUAACCGUAAGGAGGGCGCUCGCCACGGUGAGGUUCAUGCACUGGGGUGAAGUCGUAACAAGGUAGCCGUA